rnacentral:rRNA from 1 species
CGCGUGGAUAUCUGCCUAUUAGUGGGGGACAACUUGUGGAAACGCAAGCUAAUACCGCAUAAUCCCUACGGGGGAAAGCAGGGGACCUUCGGGCCUUGUGCUGAUAGAUGAGUCCGCGUCUGAUUAGCUAGUUGGUAAGGUAAAGGCUUACCAAGGCGAUGAUCAGUAUCUGGUUUGAGAGGAUGAUCAGACACACUGGAACUGAGACACGGUCCAGACUCCUACGGGAGGCAGCAGUGGGGAAUAUUGCACAAUGGGGGAAACCCUGAUGCAGCGACGCCGCGUGUGGGAAGAAGGCCUUCGGGUUGUAAACCACUUUCAAUUGGGAAGAAGGGAUGAGGGUUAAUACCUUUCUGACUUGACGGU